GAUGGACGCUGGCGGCGUGCCUAAUACAUGCAAGUCGAGCGAAUGGAUUAAGAGCUUGCUCUUAUGAAGUUAGCGGCGGACGGGUGAGUAACACGUGGGUAACCUGCUCAUAAGACUGGGAUAACUCCGGGAAACCGGGGCGAACACCGGAUAACAUUUUGAACCGCAUGGUUAGAAAUUGAAAGGCGGCUUCGGCUGUCACUCAGGGAUGUACCCGCGUCGCAUUAGCUAGUUGGUGAGGUAACGGCUCACCAAGGCAACGAUGCGGAGCCGACCUGAGAGGGUGAUCGGCCACACUGGGACUGAGACACGGCCCAGACUCCUACGGGAGGCAGCAGUAGGGAAUCUUCCGCAAUGGACGAAAGUCUGACGGAGCAACGCCGCGUGAGUGAUGAAGGCUUUCGGGUCGUAAAACUCUGUUGUUAGGGAAGAACAAGUGCUAGUUGAAUAAGCUGGCACCUUGACGGUACCUAACCAGAAAGCCACGGCUAACUACGUGCCAGCCGCCGCGGUAA
rnacentral:rRNA from 1 species